rnacentral:tRNA from 1 species
AUUUAAAUAAUUUAAUAUAAAAUUUAAUAAUGAAAAUAUUAAUAUAGAAACAAUUCUUUUAAAUA